GAUGAACGCUGGCGGCGUGCCUAAUACAUGCAAGUCGAGCGAACAGACGAGGAGCUUGCUCCUCUGACGUUAGCGGCGGACGGGUGAGUAACACGUGGAUAACCUACCUAUAAGACUGGGAUAACUUCGGGAAACCGGAGCUAAUACCGGAUAAUAUAUUGAACCGCAUGGAUCAAUAGUGAAAGACGGCUUUGCUGUCACUUAUAGAUGGAUCCGCGCCGCAUUAGCUAGUUGGUAAGGUAACGGCUUACCAAGGCAACGAUGCGUAGCCGACCUGAGAGGGUGAUCGGCCACACUGGAACUGAGACACGGUCCAGACUCCUACGGGAGGCAGCAGUAGGGAAUCUUCCGCAAUGGGCGAAAGCCUGACGGAGCAACGCCGCGUGAGUGAUGAAGGUCUUCGGAUCGUAAAACUCUGUUAUUAGGGAAGAACAAAUGUGUGAGUAACUAUGCACGUCUUGACGGUACCUAAUCAGAAAGCCACGGCUAACUACGUG
rnacentral:rRNA from 1 species